CACGGUGGAUGCCCUGGCAGUCAGAGGCGAUGAAGGACGUGCUAAUCUGCGAUAAGCGUCGGUAAGGUGAUAUGAACCGUUAUAACCGGCGAUUUCCGAAUGGGGAAACCCAGUGUGUUUCGACACACUAUCAUUAACUGAAUCCAUAGGUUAAUGAGGCGAACCGGGGGAACUGAAACAUCUAAGUACCCCGAGGAAAAGAAAUCAACCGAGAUUCCCCCAGUAGCGGCGAGCGAACGGGGAGCAGCCCAGAGCCUGAAUCAGUGUGUGUGUUAGUGGAAGCGUCUGGAAAGGCGCGCGAUACAGGGUGACAGCCCCGUACACAAAAAUGCACAUGCUGUGAGCUCGAUGAGUAGGGCGGGACACGUGGUAUCCUGUCUGAAUAUGGGGGGACCAUCCUCCAAGGCUAAAUACUCCUGACUGACCGAUAGUGAACCAGUACCGUGAGGGAAAGGCGAAAAGAACCCCGGCGAGGGGAGUGAAAAAGAACCUGAAACCGUGUACGUACAAGCAGUGGGAGCAUGCUUAGGCGUGUGACUGCGUACCUUUUGUAUAAUGGGUCAGCGACUUAUAUUCUGUAGCAAGGUUAACCGAAUAGGGGAGCCGAAGGGAAACCGAGUCUUAACUGGGCGUUAAGUUGCAGGGUAUAGACCCGAAACCCGGUGAUCUAGCCAUGGGCAGGUUGAAGGUUGGGUAACACUAACUGGAGGACCGAACCGACUAAUGUUGAAAAAUUAGCGGAUGACUUGUGGCUGGGGGUGAAAGGCCAAUCAAACCGGGAGAUAGCUGGUUCUCCCCGAAAGCUAUUUAGGUAGCGCCUCGUGAACUCAUCUCCGGGGGUAGAGCACUGUUUCGGCAAGGGGGUCAUCCCGACUUACCAACCCGAUGCAAACUGCGAAUACCGGAGAAUGUUAUCACGGGAGACACACGGCGGGUGCUAACGUCCGUCGUGAAGAGGGAAACAACCCAGACCGCCAGCUAAGGUCCCAAAGUCAUGGUUAAGUGGGAAACGAUGUGGGAAGGCCCAGACAGCCAGGAUGUUGGCUUAGAAGCAGCCAUCAUUUAAAGAAAGCGUAAUAGCUCACUGGUCGAGUCGGCCUGCGCGGAAGAUGUAACGGGGCUAAACCAUGCACCGAAGCUGCGGCAGCGACGCUUAUGCGUUGUUGGGUAGGGGAGCGUUCUGUAAGCCUGUGAAGGUGUGCUGUGAGGCAUGCUGGAGGUAUCAGAAGUGCGAAUGCUGACAUAAGUAACGAUAAAGCGGGUGAAAAGCCCGCUCGCCGGAAGACCAAGGGUUCCUGUCCAACGUUAAUCGGGGCAGGGUGAGUCGACCCCUAAGGCGAGGCCGAAAGGCGUAGUCGAUGGGAAACAGGUUAAUAUUCCUGUACUUGGUGUUACUGCGAAGGGGGGACGGAGAAGGCUAUGUUGGCCGGGCGACGGUUGUCCCGGUUUAAGCGUGUAGGCUGGUUUUCCAGGCAAAUCCGGAAAAUCAAGGCUGAGGCGUGAUGACGAGGCACUACGGUGCUGAAGCAACAAAUGCCCUGCUUCCAGGAAAAGCCUCUAAGCAUCAGGUAACAUCAAAUCGUACCCCAAACCGACACAGGUGGUCAGGUAGAGAAUACCAAGGCGCUUGAGAGAACUCGGGUGAAGGAACUAGGCAAAAUGGUGCCGUAACUUCGGGAGAAGGCACGCUGAUAUGUAGGUGAAGCGACUUGCUCGUGGAGCUGAAAUCAGUCGAAGAUACCAGCUGGCUGCAACUGUUUAUUAAAAACACAGCACUGUGCAAACACGAAAGUGGACGUAUACGGUGUGACGCCUGCCCGGUGCCGGAAGGUUAAUUGAUGGGGUCAGCGCAAGCGAAGCUCUUGAUCGAAGCCCCGGUAAACGGCGGCCGUAACUAUAACGGUCCUAAGGUAGCGAAAUUCCUUGUCGGGUAAGUUCCGACCUGCACGAAUGGCGUAAUGAUGGCCAGGCUGUCUCCACCCGAGACUCAGUGAAAUUGAACUCGCUGUGAAGAUGCAGUGUACCCGCGGCAAGACGGAAAGACCCCGUGAACCUUUACUAUAGCUUGACACUGAACAUUGAGCCUUGAUGUGUAGGAUAGGUGGGAGGCUUAGAAGUGUGGACGCCAGUCUGCAUGGAGCCGACCUUGAAAUACCACCCUUUAAUGUUUGAUGUUCUAACGUUGACCCGUAAUCCGGGUUGCGGACAGUGUCUGGUGGGUAGUUUGACUGGGGCGGUCUCCUCCUAAAGAGUAACGGAGGAGCACGAAGGUUGGCUAAUCCUGGUCGGACAUCAGGAGGUUAGUGCAAUGGCAUAAGCCAGCUUGACUGCGAGCGUGACGGCGCGAGCAGGUGCGAAAGCAGGUCAUAGUGAUCCGGUGGUUCUGAAUGGAAGGGCCAUCGCUCAACGGAUAAAAGGUACUCCGG
rnacentral:rRNA from 1 species